GGCCGAGAUAGCUCAGUCGGUAGAGCAGAGGACUGAAAAUCCUCGUGUC
rnacentral:tRNA from 1 species